ACAAAAUAAAUGAACGAAGCAACAGAAACAACAAAUAAAAUUAAUUAUGAAGUCUGUAAACAAAAUUGUCAUUCAAAAAUAGGGAUAGUUGAGAAUGAAGAAUUUUGUCGUCCAGUUUUUGGUAGAAAGAGAGAAAGAAAGAGAAAACGACAAAUCAUGCAAAUGGAAAUCAUUGCUCGUUUUAAUUUAUCAUGUGAUUAAUUAAUUUAUUGCUUGUUGCAAGAGGCCUAAAUGUAACUGUACAUAUAUUUAUAGCAAAAUAAAGUUAUUUUAUUCUUACUUUUGCCUUGUCGGUCUUUAAUGUCAUUAAUACAAGAGAACAUUGUCUGCAAACGUCCAUGGUGACAUUGUCAAACAUUCAAUCAGCUGCGCAGAAGAGGAUGGUGUGACUGACAUUUUGUCAAAGUGAAUGAAAAGGAAAAUAUUCUAUACUUUUCAAUAAAAAUAACACUUAUGAUGUUGCCAAAAUUAGGUUCUGUGUGCAUUCACAAAGCGGACUACAGUCCACCAAAAAAACUUCUUUUGGGUUAGUUUAACAUAAACUCUGCAGUUUUUUCGAAUGUUUAUAUAGAUGCAAGCAGACCAGCAAAGCCUCCAAAAGCUAGACAUGAACUAUAGCGCAAAGCAUUCUGGGUAAAUACAAUCUAAGCAAAGGCGAGAGUACAAUGCUAGCAGGAGAAACUGCUCGUAUACUUUUUCCAACAACAGAAGAGGAAUCCUACAAAAGCUAAAAUCUGACGCCACUCCAUUUCUGUUUAUAUUUUGUGAAGAAGGAAAUUGCGCACAUUUCUUCUCAUGAAGUUUUUAUGCCCUUUUCUUCAAUGUUUCUUAGUGCAGCGCCCCACCAGGAGAGGAGGGGAACAGGUUUUUCUAAUGGUUUGGAUUAUUUGGUUAUAUUUGGUUGUUUAUAGGUAUGAAAGGUAGUUGUCAGGUAGCGGCCAGCUUAGCCAAGCCUAAUCUGAUCGUCACCCAGGAUGAAGAGAUUAUUUCAGUAAAGGCUGAAAGCACUUUCAAAACGCACAAGAUCAAGUUCAAGCUGAACUGAAGAGUUUGAUGAGAAGACACCAGACGGUCGUAAGGUAAAGUCCAAGUUCUUCCUGAGGGAUGGCAAACUUAUCCAGCAACAGCGCUGGGAUGGAAAGAUUACAACGAUGGAGAGAGAGAUUAAAAAUGGAAAGCUUAAAGUUGGAAAAAUGCAUUCUGGGUAAAGAUGUUGCAACAAGGAUCUAUGAAAAGGAAGCAUAACCUCCCCAUUACCAAACAAACGCAAUGUGUUUUUUAAGCUCUGAAUAAAACCUACAUGUGAUGCUACUUUC